rnacentral:rRNA from 1 species
AGCAGCCGCGGUAAUUCCAGCUCCAAUAGCGUAUAUUAAAGUUGUUGCAGUUAAAAAGCUCGUAGUUGAAUUUUAGGCCUGGCCAGGCGGUCCGUCUUUGGCGAGUACUGUCUUGUUGUCGGGUCUUCCUUCUGGUGAACCAGUAUGUCCUUCAUUGGGUAUGUUGGGGAGCCAGGACCAUUACCUUGAAAAAAUUAGAGUGUUUAAAGCGGGCUAUUGCUUGAAUAGAUUAGCAUGGAAUAAUAGAAUAGGACGUUGUGGUUCUAUUUUGUUGGUUUCUAGGACCACCGUAAUGAUUAAUAGGGAUAGUUGGGGGCAUUAGUAUUCAACUGUCAGAGGUGAAAUUCUUGGAUUUAUUGAAGACUAACUACUGCGAAAGCAUUUGCCAAGGAUGUUUUCAUUAAUCAAGAACGAAAGUUAGGGGAUCGAAGACGAUCAGAUACCGUCGUAGUCUUAACCAUAAACUAUGCCGACUAGGAAUCGGGCGACGUUAUUUCACGACUCGCUCGGCGCCUUAUGG